UUUUACAUAUGUUUUGGGAAGAUAAAGUGAAAGAGACUACACUAUGUUGCUUACAUCAUGUGGUACCACAAUUGUGGAAUGCAAAAACCUCCACUUUAAAGAUUCUAACACCUAACAUUUAGUUGUUAGCUAAAAACAGUAGUAAGAUAGAUUAGGAUUGGGACAAGUCCCUUCCCUUUUCUUCUUCUCGAUCGACGGCCACGUAAGACUCCAAAUUUGACAACUAUAUGCCUCCUUCUCCUUGGCAAAUUCUUGCAGCAACAUAGGCAAGAGUACCUACAUUUGUGAUACUAAAAUAGUUAAAGGAAAAAGAUCAAGUAUAGUAAGGACAAAUAUGACAUCACCAAAAAAAGGACUCAUGAGAUCAACUAAUUUUAAGUCAUCCAAGAAUUACACAAAUUUGGCAAGAAGGCUUUUUAGCUCAACUCAAAAAGAGAGGUGAGUUGGUAGCUCAAAAUAGAAAUUGGAGCUCUUCAAUGCCUUACACCAAGGAGGCAAGAGGCCUUUGUCAUACCAAAAGGAAAGGAACCCAUAGCUAGAAAUAGAAAAGCAUCCUUCUCAAUGCUAACACCAAAGGGGUAGUAAAGCUUUUAUCUCAAAUUCAAAAGAUGAGGGGAUCUUUAUCCCAAAUUAUCCACAAAAUGCCAAGACUUUUCUCCUAUAAAAGCAACCCACCACCACCUUCCUUCACACACCUUCCUGGCACUCAAAAUUCACAAUUCAUAAGAGGAGCAACAAGGGAUGGGAGGAAUGGCAAGAGAGCAAUUCAACAAACAAGAGGAAUUACAUAAGCAAGGAUAAAUUAUUCAAGGGCAAAUGAGGCCAGACGAGAGUUGUUAAUUGGAGAUAAGCGUAUCAGGUGAGCUUUCUUUUAAUAUCCAUCACUAUAGUGUGAAUAUAAAGCAAAUAUUCUUGAAGUUAUGAAAUUUCAUCUUUUCUCAAAAUGGAGCUGUGAUUAUUUGAAAGUUGUUGUCAUGCCAUAAAAUGUUUGUUUUCGAGGCCUAUCUGUUGGGGCUACAUGCCGAGAGUUCCAAAACUCAGUAACGAAUUCGGUUCCCAAUAGGACCGCAAAUCCUGUUUGGAAUAACGUGCACAAGAGUCGUGAGUAAUCCUAGAGAGGUUGGCCGGCCAUGGUGCCCGUUGGAGGUGGCCACCUUCACGGUACACGACUUACAGACAUGGUUGAACGUCAAGAGGAAGGAGCAUUGAUCGGAG